GCGGCAUGCCUAACACAUGCAAGUCGAACGUGAAAGAGGGGCAACUCUCGAGUAAAGUGGCGGACGGGUGAGUAAUACGUAGGAAUCUGCCCUAAAGUGGGGGAUAACCUGCCGAAAGGCGGGCUAAUACCGCAUAAUCUCUACGGAGAAAAGGUGGCUAGCAAUAGCCUUCGCUUUAGGAUGAGCCCGCGUUGGAUUAGCUAGUUGGUGAGGUAAUGGUUCACCAAGGCGACGAUCCAUAGCUGGUCUGAGAGGAUGAUCAGCCACACUGGGACUGAGACACGGCCCAGACUCCUACGGGAGGCAGCAGUGGGGAAUAUUGGACAAUGGGCGAAAGCCUGAUCCAGCCAUGCCGCGUGAGUGAUGAAGGCCUUAGGGUUGUAAAGCUCUUUCAGUGGGGAAGAUAAUGACGGUACCCACAGAAGAAGCCCCGGCUAACUUCGUGCCAGCCGCCGCAGUAA
rnacentral:rRNA from 1 species